UCCACUGUCGCGUUUUUCUUACGUGCGUAUACGCACGUAAAAGUUCAAAUCUAUUUAAAAGUUGUUUAUAUUAUGAAGUAAUUAAGUGAAUAAAAUGACAGCAUUUAGUUUAUAAAAUUUAAAAAGAUUUAAACUUUUACGUGCGUAUACGUACGUAAGAAAAACGCGACAGUGGA